rnacentral:rRNA from 1 species
GAUGAACGCUGGCGGCGUGCUUAACACAUGCAAGUCGAACGGAUUUAACAGAAAGCUUGCUUUCGGUUAAAUUAGUGGCGGACGGGUGAGUAACGCGUGGAUAACCUGCCGUAUACAGGGGGAUAACACUUAGAAAUAGGUGCUAAUACCGCAUAAGCGCACAGCUUCGCAUGAGACAGUGUGAAAAACUCCGGUGGUAUACGAUGGAUCCGCGUCUGAUUAGCUAGUUGGUGAGGUAACGGCCCACCAAGGCGACGAUCAGUAGCCGGCCUGAGAGGGUGAACGGCCACAUUGGGACUGAGACACGGCCCAAACUCCUACGGGAGGCAGCAGUGGGGAAUAUUGCACAAUGGGGGAAACCCUGAUGCAGCGACGCCGCGUGAGUGAAGAAGUAUUUCGGUAUGUAAAGCUCUAUCAGCAGGGAAGAAAAUGACGGUACCUGACUAAGAAGCCCCGGCUAACUACGUG